GAUGAAGAACGCAGCGAAAUGCGAUACUUGGUGUGAAUUGCAGAAUCCCGUGAACCAUCAAGUCUUUGAACGCAAGUUGCGCCCGAAGCCAUCAGGUUGAGGGCACGUCUGCCUGGGCGUCACAUAUCGUUGCCCAAUGCCUAUUGCAGUGCAAUAGGAAUUUCUAGGGCGAAUGAUGGCUUCCCGUGAGCGUUGUUGCCUCGCGGUUGGUUGAAAAUCGAGUCCUUGGUAGGGUGUGCCAUGGUAGAUGGUGGUCGAGUUAGAACGAUACCGAUCAUGUGCAUGCUCCCCAAAAUAUGGCCUCUAUGACCCACACGCGUCUUUUGACGCUCAUGACGAGACCUCAGGUCAGGCGGGGCUACCCGCUGAAUUUAAGCAUAUCAAUAAGCGGAGGA
rnacentral:misc_RNA from 1 species